AUGGAUUUCCCUUUCGGGAGACCCCGAAGGGAUUACAAAGAGAAAAGGAGGACUACCUUCUGCCUACCUCCACCACUGGAUGAUACAAUGCCUCAAAGGCUUAUUAAAAACUGGAGAUGGCUACUACCAACUACUACUACUGAGGAGAGUGAGGGAAGUGGUGAUCUGGUGCUUGCGAUGCUCUGGAGACUGGUGUUGUGUAGACUGUUGUUGUGUGUGUCUCUCCGCGCUCAGUCCUCCUCCUUUUAUAGUGCGCGAGGGAUGCUGGAUGCUCCCCUCUUUUAUUCUUCUGCGUCAUAG
rnacentral:rRNA from 1 species